rnacentral:rRNA from 1 species
CCUACGGGUGGCAGCAGUGGGGAAUAUUGGACAAUGGGGGCAACCCUGAUCCAGCCAUGCCGCGUGUGUGAAGAAGGCCCUCGGGUUGUAAAGCACUUUCAGUGAUGAAGAACGCCUGGUGGUUAAUACCCAUCAGGAAAGACAUCACUCACAGAAGAAGCACCGGCUAACUCCGUGCCAGCAGCCGCGGUAAUACGGAGGGUGCGAGCGUUAAUCGGAAUUACUGGGCGUAAAGCGCGCGUAGGUGGCUUGAUAAGCCGGUUGUGAAAGCCCCGGGCUCAACCUGGGAACGGCAUCCGGCACUGUCAAGCUAGAGUGCAGGAGAGGAAGGUAGAAUUCCCGGUGUAGCGGUGAAAUGCGUAGAGAUCGGGAGGAAUACCAGUGGCGAAGGCGGCCUUCUGGACUGACACUGACACUGAGGUGCGAAAGCGUGGGUAGCAAACAGGAUUAGAUACCCUAGUAGUC